CUCUGGUAUUGAUUGGUGCUUGCAUCAUGAUUUACAUUUGAGUGAGUGGCGAACUGGUGAGUAACACGUGGGAAACCUGCCCAGAAGCGGGGGAUAACACCUGGAAACAGAUGCUAAUACCGCAUAACAACUUGGACCGCAUGGUCCGAGCUUGAAAGAUGGCUUCGGCUAUCACUUUUGGAUGGUCCCGCGGCGUAUUAGCUAGAUGGUGGGGUAACGGCUCACCAUGGCAAUGAUACGUAGCCGACCUGAGAGGGUAAUCGGCCACAUUGGGACUGAGACACGGCCCAAACUCCUACGGGAGGCAGCAGUAGGGAAUCUUCCACAAUGGACGAAAGUCUGAUGGAGCAACGCCGCGUGAGUGAAGAAGGGUUUCGGCUCGUAAAACUCUGUUGUUAAAGAAGAACAUAUCUGAGAGUAACUGUUCAGGUAUUGACGGUAUUUAACCAGAAAGCCACGGCUAACUACGUGCCAGCAGCCGCGGUAAUACGUAGGUGGCAAGCGUUGUCCGGAUUUAUUGGGCGUAAAGCGAGCGCAGGCGGUUUUUUAAGUCUGAUGUGAAAGCCUUCGGCUCAACCGAAGAAGUGCAUCGGAAACUGGGAAACUUGAGUGCAGAAGAGGACAGUGGAACUCCAUGUGUAGCGGUGAAAUGCGUAGAUAUAUGGAAGAACACCAGUGGCGAAGGCGGCUGUCUGGUCUGUAACUGACGCUGAGGCUCGAAAGUAUGGGUAGCAAACAGGAUUAGAUACCCUGGUAGUCCAUACCGUAAACGAUGAAUGCUAAGUGUUGGAGGGUUUCCGCCCUUCAGUGCUGCAGCUAACGCAUUAAGCAUUCCGCCUGGGGAGUACGGCCGCAAGGCUGAAACUCAAAGGAAUUGACGGGGGCCCGCACAAGCGGUGGAGCAUGUGGUUUAAUUCGAAGCUACGCGAAGAACCUUACCAGGUCUUGACAUACUAUGCAAAUCUAAGAGAUUAGACGUUCCCUUCGGGGACAUGGAUACAGGUGGUGCAUGGUUGUCGUCAGCUCGUGUCGUGAGAUGUUGGGUUAAGUCCCGCAACGAGCGCAACCCUUAUUAUCAGUUGCCAGCAUUAAGUUGGGCACUCUGGUGAGACUGCCGGUGACAAACCGGAGGAAGGUGGGGAUGACGUCAAAUCAUCAUGCCCCUUAUGACCUGGGCUACACACGUGCUACAAUGGAUGGUACAACGAGUUGCGAACUCGCGAGAGUAAGCUAAUCUCUUAAAGCCAUUCUCAGUUCGGAUUGUAGGCUGCAACUCGCCUACAUGAAGUCGGAAUCGCUAGUAAUCGCGGAUCAGCAUGCCGCGGUGAAUACGUUCCCGGGCCUUGUACACACCGCCCGUCACACCAUGAGAGUUUGUAACACCCAAAGUCGGUG
rnacentral:rRNA from 2 species